UGGGGAAUAUUGCACAAUGGGCGCAAGCCUGAUGCAGCCAUGCCGCGUGUAUGAAGAAGGCCUUCGGGUUGUAAAGUACUUUCAGUCGGGAGGAAGGUGGUAAGGUUAAUAACCUUAUCAAUUGACGUUACCCGCAGAAGAAGCACCGGCUAACUCCGUGCCAGCAGCCGCGGUAAUACGGAGGGUGCAAGCGUUAAUCGGAAUUACUGGGCGUAAAGCGCACGCAGGCGGUUUGUUAAGUCAGAUGUGAAAUCCUCGGGCUCAACCUGGGAACUGCAUCUGAUACUGGCAAGCUUGAGUCUCGUAGAGGGGGGUAGAAUUCCAGGUGUAGCGGUGAAAUGCGUAGAGAUCUGGAGGAAUACCGGUGGCGAAGGCGGCCCCCUGGACGAAGACUGACGCUCAGGUGCGAAAGCGUGGGGAGCAAACAGG
rnacentral:rRNA from 1 species